CAGGGCUUGACAUAUAGGUGAAGCGGCGGAGACGUCGUGGCCGAAAGGAGCCUAUACAGGUGGUGCAUGGCUGUCGUCAGCUCGUGUCGUGAGAUGUUGGGUUAAGUCCCGCAACGAGCGCAACCCUCGUCGCAUGUUGCCAGCGGUUCGGCCGGGCACCCAUGCGAGACCGCCGGCGUCAAGCCGGAGGAAGGUGGGGACGACGUCAAGUCAUCAUGCCCCUUAUGUCCUGGGCCGCACACGUGCUACAAUGGCCGGCACAGUGGGUUGCCAGCGCGCAAGCGUGAGCGAAUCCCAAAAGCCGGUCUCAGUUCGGACUGGAGGCUGCAACUC
rnacentral:rRNA from 1 species